rnacentral:rRNA from 1 species
GGCGAACGCUGGCGGCGUGCUUAACACAUGCAAGUCGAACGGAAAGGCCCUGCUUUUGUGGGGUGCUCGAGUGGCGAACGGGUGAGUAACACGUGAGUAACCUGCCCUUGACUUUGGGAUAACUUCAGGAAACUGGGGCUAAUACCGGAUAGGAGCUCCUGCUGCAUGUGGGGGUUGGAAAGUUUCGGCGGUUGGGGAUGGACUCGCGGCUUAUCAGCUUGUUGGUGGGGUAGUGGCUUACCAAGGCUUUGACGGGUAGCCGGCCUGAGAGGGUGACCGGCCACAUUGGGACUGAGAUACGGCCCAGACUCCUACGGGAGGCAGCAGUGGGGAAUAUUGCACAAUGGGCGGAAGCCUGAUGCAGCAACGCCGCGUGCGGGAUGACGGCCUUCGGGUUGUAAACCGCUUUCGCCUGUGACGAAGCGUGAGUGACGGUAAUGGGUAAAGAAGCACCGGCUAACUACGUG